CAUAUCGAGGGAGGGAGGGAGGGGAUUUCACCGGAGAAAUUUAGGCGAUUUAGUUUAGCGGAAGGGAUCGAGGAAUACUGAAUUUUUGGGUAAAAAUAGCGGCUGGAUUUUUUAUUUUAGAUUCUUCUAAAUAUUCGGCUGGCGACUAAGUGAUUGCGGAUUUUGUCAAUAGAUGGUAUUGUCGGAUUUUGUCAAUACCAUCUAUUGACAAAAUCCGCAAUCACUUAGUUACCGAAGAGAAGCGUGCGAUAGCUUGUAUCGAUGAUUAAUUGCAAUUGUAGGAAAACGAUCUUGCAAUUGUGCUUUUAUACUAUAAAAGUGUACUAGUUCAAUUAGUAAAUUAACGCGGAAUUAUGAAUGGACUGUCGAUCUUUAUGCAGUGUCACAUUUUAACAAAUGCAACCUAAAUAACAUUUCACUUUGGAUAUUUUAUGUGUUUCUUUGCACAUUACGUGCCAUUCGAUAUCUUCAUAAUCUCGAAUUGCUUCGAUCAUGAAACACUUGAUAUUUACAUCGACAGAAAUUAAUAUCACGGAUUUAUAUAGAAAAGUGAUUGUAUUCGUGUGAGAUUAAUUUAAAUGUAGCUUCAGUUCGAAAUAGCAGCAGUCGCUUAAGCACAGUAGAAUUUCUAACCUCAAUCUAUUCGAAGGAGGAUUAAGCGAUUCAUAUAUUAGGUUGGCAACUAAGUAAUUGCGGAUUUUGUCAUUACUAUCUAAUGACAAAACCCGCAAUCACUUGAUUGCCGAUUUAAUAGGUUAGAAAAUGUUGCGAUAGGUGGCUGUGUAGUUUAUCGAAGUAAAAGUGGUCGUUGUUAGUAGUUAUAAAUGAAAUUUAGGUUGCAUCUAGAGAAUCUAGUUGCGUGAUUCAUGCAGUCUUUUGCUCUACGUUCCUUUUAUCAUGGAAAUAGCUGCAAUUAACCCUUGCUGACGUCCGACGGUCCUAAUUUGAAGCAGUGAUCUACAAGAAGCCCAAUACAUAUGUAUACACUGAAAAUUGAUGCAAUCUAUUGAUUUGGACGUGAAACAAUGUCGACUGGGACUCGACAAAGGAGCUGCUGAGAUAAAAACUGAUGUCCACUGGUCACACUCGACAUAGCAGUACAAAGGGUAGAAGAAUAUCUGGCAAUUCGAUAUCUCAGAAUGUGAUCAAAAAACACGAGAUUUUCAUCGAUAUAUGUCACACGUCUCCUUGAGAAAAGUUUUUCGAAAAUGGAAAAUCGUCGGGGAACGUGGUAUAUAAAUGUCCAUGGGUAAAUAUUUUUCGAUGGAUAGCACGCGGUUUCGAGGGUUGGCGCCUCUUGAAAAAAUCGAGGUGGUGUGUAAACCAGAGAACACGGCCACGUGAACGGGAUACUUUUGUGAAAAGGCCACUUCCACAAAAUGCAAGGCUUUUCCUUGUUAAACCCACGAAACCAUUGUGUCGCUAUUCGACCAUAGGCUGUCAUUGUGCUCUGUUUGGAAGUAAAAUAUUUGCCACGAAAAGAAAUUGUUUUCCGCGUUUGGGUCCCUUAAAACCAUCUGCCACCCUCGCGUCGAUUAUUUCCAACGAUUGGAUCAGGUUGCACCCUAUCCAUCGUUCGUAUCCGUUUUUCGCGACAGUGAGAUUUCCAUCGACUGAAUUCUAUGAAACCAUCUAUUUUCUUACGAGAUUGCGGUAUUUGUAAAUUAUCGAUGUAAGUGGUUCUCUCUGUGUAUUGAAAUCGAAGGUCUUAUCAACAGAAAAUCACAAGUCUUAAUCGUGCUUUUCCAGGAAAACAAAGGAAUGCAAUAACAUUCAUAAUUGCUGCUCAAUACAUUGUUUUCGUGACA